AAACAUUGAUAGAAUUCUACACCCCCUAUUCGCCCGGGUACUACGAGUGCUAGCUUAAAACCCAAAGGACUUGGCGGUGCUUUAGAUCCACCUAGAGGAGCCUGUCCUAGAACCGAUAAUCCCCGUUUAACCUUACCUUUUCUUGCCAUCCCCGCCUAUAUACCGCCGUCGCCAGCUUACCCUUUGAAGGCCUCGUAGUAAGCAAAGUUAGUACUAACUCCACACGUCAGGUCGAGGUGUAGCGUAUGGAAAGGAGAGAGAUGGGCUACAUUUACUAACCCAGUAAAUACGAAAGAUCCAGUGAAACCCUGCAUCUGAAGGAGGAUUUAGCAGUAAGCAGAAAGCAGAGCGUUCU
rnacentral:rRNA from 1 species